rnacentral:rRNA from 1 species
UACGUAGGGACCAAGCGUUGUUCGGAUUUACUGGGCGUAAAGGGCGCGUAGGCGGCAAUUCAAGUCAGCUGUGAAAUCUCCGAGCUUAACUCGGAACGGUCAGCUGAUACUGUUUUGCUAGAGUGCAGAAAGGGCAACCGGAAUUCUUGGUGUAGCGGUGAAAUGCGUAGAUAUCUGGAGGAACACCGGUGGCGAAGGCGGCACUCUGGGACGUGACUGACGCUGAGACGCGAAAAGCGUGGGGGAGCAAACAGG